AAAUAUCUUUUUCUUUUUGGAUUUCUGCAUUUGGGACAGGCAUCUGUGAUUGUGAUUUUAUUUGUCAUUUGAUGUGCCAAUUUUAUGUUUUCUGCAUUUGGUACAGGCAUCUGUGAUUGUGAUUUUAUGUGCCAAGUGGCAUCUGUGAUUGUGAUUUUAUUUGUCAUUUGAUGUGCCAAUUUUAUGUUUUCUGCAUUUGGUACAGGCAUCUGUGAUUGUGAUUUUAUGUGCCAAGUGGCAUCUGUGAUUGUGAUUUUAUUGUCAUUUGAUGUGCCAAUUUUAUGUUUUCUGCAUUUGGUACAGGCAUCUGUGAUUUUGAUUUGUUGUUUUUGGGUCUGUUUAAUUGGGGCGACGACCUUAUUUACUGGAACCAAUGGUGUACAAAGUUCAGAAUAUGAAACUUUGUUAAAGGACUUGUAAGUGCAAAGAUACAAUUCAAGGUUUAAUGGCAGCUGUUUUGUUCAUUAUGUAAGCAGUGUUUUAGUGACCUUAUAAUUAAUUUAACAGAUAAAAGCUACUCAAAGGAUAACAGGCUUAAUAUGUUAGAUAGCUCACAUUAAAUAAAUGGUUUGGCACCUCGAUGUCGGCUUAUCUUAUCCAAAAUCUGUAGGCUUUGGUUUAUUGGUAGGAGUGCUCAUCCUAUAAUAAGGUACGUGAGCUGGGUUCAGAACGAUGUAAAUCAGUUUGGUCUAUAUCUUUAACAAUUAUAAAAAUGGGUAUGGAGUAGUUUGUUCAGUACGAAAGGACCAACAGACAAUAGCAGAAGAUGAAUUUUGUGUUGUAGUGGUAUUACUGUUCUAGGUCUAAGUAUUAGAUAAGUGAUUAUCGAUCCUAACG
rnacentral:rRNA from 1 species